GUUAUUUCUUUAAAUCUGUUAUGGUUCUAUGUUCGUUCGGCUGUUUGAUUCGAUGGUUAUUCUAUGGGAAUCGUUCGCUAAAUUUUCCGCUUCUUUCUGGUUGGCGCUGUAAAGAUUGUUCGUCAUCUUUUGAGGGUGUGGACAGAUAGGGACAGACUUUCUCGGGAAAUAAUUCAACUUAAAAUAAAGGAGCACUCGCUUCACCUUUUUUUAUCCUUUCUCGACGAAAGUUGAAUCCUCGCAGAGGAUGCGUUUCUUGCAAAAGAUUCGUCCCGCCCUUACAUAUCCGCUCUGUAGAUGCCUCACACGGCGGCACAUGCAACUAUUCGUCGGAGGACUCUCUUAUGAUACCAAUGAAAGUGUGCUUAAGGAUGCGUUCGAGAACUAUGGUGAAAUAGUUGAAGUCAAGGUAAUAUGUGAUCGUGUGAGUGGAAAAUCAAGAGGAUAUGGAUUUGUGCGCUACUCUUCUGAAGCAGCAGCAAACAAAGCCCUGAAAGAAAUGGACGGUCUGUUGCUAGAUGGUAGGAACAUCCGAAUUCACUAUGCUCACAGAGGGGGAAGCAAGGAAGUCAGGACCGCGCUUUAAUAGAUGCCAGCACCAUGCUACUGGUAACUUGCUCAUUUUGAGAUCAGGUUUUCCUUGCACAUCCUUUUGAAUUCAGACUUGGUUUGUUCGAGAUUACGAUGUAGAAUGAUGUCAUGCUACUGGUAACUUGCUCAUUUUGAGAUCAGGUUUUCCUUGCACAUCCUUUUGAACUCAGACUUGGUUUGUUCGAGAUUACGAUGUAGAAUGAUGUUAGACUGAAGGGUUCAUUGAGGAAGCUCAAGUGUUCACAGAAUGAAAAAGAGAACACUGUAUUAACCCAAAUAUUAGAAAAUGAAGUAUUAGCAAAUCAUGGUUUAAAGGGAUCUGUUGGAAGUAAUCUUUACCAGUUGUAAAGGGAACACAAAUACAAUUUGCUAGGGGGUGGCAGUUUGGAUCUAUCGCAACAGAAGUUUGAACAUUGAGGAGAGGAUGAAUGUUCUUCAACAUCUAUAGAAGACUGUCUGAAACUCCCAACACUCUGAUGUUCCUCUCUUAUGAAGUCAAAAAAGAAGAUUUAGUCGUUUGGUUUCAGCCUCUUGCUUCAAGACCUUCCCUUCUCUGUAAUUAUGUUGAAAUUUGUUUGAUCUCUUUUUACUAUUUUCAGUGUUAGUGUUACAACUCAUUAAACUCAAUAUCUAAGUGUAGGAAUUGCACAUGUGUUUGUGGCAGUCAUGACUGAAAUGUUUGUUUUACUGGAACAUGGAUACACUCCUUGGCCGGCUUCUUCAA